UCCCUGGUGGCUCAGACGGUAAAGUGUCUGUCUACAAUGCAGGAGACUCGGGUUCGAUCCCUGGGUUGGGAA
rnacentral:tRNA from 1 species